ensembl:snRNA U6 U6 spliceosomal RNA
UGGCUCACUUUGGCAGCACAAAUUCUGAAAUUGGAACUGUGAACAAAAGUUUAACGUGGCCCCUGCACAGAGAUAACACUCAAAUUUGUGAAGUAUUUCAUAUUUUU